GCUUACGUAGCUUAAGUAAAGCACAGCACUGAAGAUGCUGAGAUGAGCCCUACGAAAGCUCCGUAAGCA
rnacentral:tRNA from 12 species